rnacentral:rRNA from 1 species
CGUUGAGGCGGCCCCGUAAGUUGGACGUGAAAGCUCCUGGCUCAACUAGGAGAGGUCGUUCAAUACUGCAGGGCUUGAGGACAGCAGAGGGGGGUGGAAUUCCCGGUGUAGUGGUGAAAUGCGUAGAUAUCGGGAGGAACACCAGUGGCGAAGGCGGCCCCCUGGGCUGUUCCUGACGCUGAAUGCGAAAGCUAGGGGAGCGAACG